AAGAAACACCACAUCACCAACACGGCUUCUUGUUCACUUACACGUGUGGCCACCGGAGGCAGCAUUAGACAGGAGUUCCCGUGUCUCUGAGUCAAAUGGACUUUCGUUUGGCAGAGAACGUGGUUUACCGGGGUUAGCAUAAGCAUCUCGUACGAAUGAACUUUUUUAAUUCGUAAAUUGUAACUUUAAGUUUAAGAAAAUACAUUUAGUUAGAAGCACGCAGCGGUCAACCCGCCAAUCAGAAGACAGCAAGGCAGCGAUUGGUAACAAACUCCAGGUAUCAUCACCCGGGCGGUCUGCAGUCACAGCAGCAGCUGAGCUGCGUUCACUAAAUAAAAACCCUCGUUUGAAAGGCAGAAAAAUGUCAUGGCCGCGAACUGUUGGACCUCAGUGGAGGACCCUAGUGGUGGAGAUGAGCUGGUGUCAUCGUGGACGUCCGUCAGGUCGUACUUUUCCUUUAAUCUACCGUCAGUGGAGUUUGAGUUUAACUGAACCAGAACCAGAACCAGAACCAGAACCAGAACCAGAGUCCAAUCAUGAGACGGAGAGCGGAUCCAGUGGAGAAUCGUUUUAAUACAAAUUUCUAUUUUGAAAAUAUAAACAUGAUAAAACAUUUGAACACAUUUGUUUCCUGUCAGGAGAUUGGUUGACCUGUGUGACAUCAUCAGAGGUCAGAGGUCAGAUUGACUUUGGUUUAAAAGACUUCUGUGUUCCAGGGGAUUAGAAGGUGGAGUUAGAAGGAAGUCGUUGUUUAGAAACAGGAAGUGGAAAACUGAAGCUGGACGUCUCCUCUGAGGAGGACGUCUCCUCUGAGGAGGACAUCUCCUCUGAGGAGGACGUCUCCUCUGAGGAGGACGUCUCAUCUGAGGAGGACACCAUCUCUGAGGAGGACACCAUCUCUGAGGAGGACGUCUCCUCUGAGGAGGACGUCUCCUCUGAGGAGGACAUCUCCUCUGAGGAGGACGUCUCCUCUUCAGAAAGUGAAUUUGAGGACCUAAUCUGAAGACGUUUGUUUCUUCUCGGGUGUCUCCCACGUGGACCAGAUCAUUGGGACAAAUCAACCAGGAUCCCUGAGAACUGACUUUUCAAAAUAAAGGUCCUGGUUGUUGGACAUCCAGCCCUGUGGCUCAGAGGACCUGAGUGUGGGACAGACAUCACGGGGCAGAGUUAGUGACCGUUCACACUACGGUCCAGUUCUUCAGUUUUCAUGAAAACACAGGAAGGUUCCAGAAGGACUUUUCUGUUCCUGGUCCACAGAACUAAUGGUUUCAAAUCUUGGGUUUUGAUCAUUUACACCGUGACGCAACUUUAUUGUUUUCGAAAUGACACCAAGGGAGCUGCGAUGAGCGACCUCUGUUGGUUGAAAAUGGUACAAUAUAAAUAUGAACGACAUUGAAAUCGAACUAAACCCAAAAGUCUGUCAGUCGGGACUUGACUCGGAACUGAUGAAAGAACUAAAGAGUUCCGCCGACGAGGCGACGAUUGUUGACAGAUCUGAAGCUCGUCGUUUAUUGGCUGUUGUUGCUGCUCAGAACGUCCAAUCAGAACACAACGAUGUUCUGACAACAGCACUCGCACCGUCAA